CAAUGUAAUCUUUUGAUACUCUCUCUUAUUGAAUCCCUUGAUUAUUUAUAUGGUCUCCAUAUGAUUUGAUUGAUUAUUGUUGGGUUAUCAUCUGUGCUUAAGGCCUUUAUCAUUUAACUCAUUCGGUAUAUUGAUGUUUGUCUUUAUUGAUAUGGGGACGUACAGUAAUGACAUUAACUGGUGAGUGAUCUCUUGAUUUUGCAAUACCACCUAGGGAUAGGGGUAGGACGAUCAAUUGCGCUAACUUCUGUUUAUAAUGCGGUAUUAAUUACUAGGGGAGGCUAGNGAUAGCAAGCCAGUAGUUAAUAUUAGGCCCUUUUCGCCGAUGGAUCGGGUUAAGGGGAGGCUAAGAAAGUCGCAUAACAAUUGAAUCAAUCUAAUAUUCAAGGGUAGUAUGUAAGAGAGAGCGGAAUAGAUGAAAUUGUAAACCCCCAACAAUAUCCAUUCCUCCAUUGUUUUCGUUUGUCAAUUGAAUCAACUUUAUUUUUGCAUGUUAAUAUUUUUGUUCUCAAAUCCAAUUUAUUAAUUUUUAUUUUUCAAGUCUUAUCAUUUUAAUUCACGCGAACGAGAAAGUCAUACGAGUCUCUUGGGAAAACGAUACUUGGUCUUACCAUUUAUAUUACUUGUACGAUUUUGUACACUUGCCAAUUUGUCAACACUUAGCCAUCCUUGAAAUUCGAACCCUUCAUCUUUGAAAAACUUCAACUUCAAAAAUUUGUGUGUUACCAAGUUUCUCAUCUUCCAGCAGUCGAGAUACUUUGACUGUAUUUCAUUAUCACUGAUCCAGC
rnacentral:lncRNA from 1 species